rnacentral:misc_RNA from 1 species
GAUGAAGAACGCAGUGAAAUGCGAUAAGUAAUGUGAAUUGCAGAAUUCAGUGAAUCAUCGAAUCUUUGAACGCACAUUGCGCCCCUUGGUAUUCCGAGGGGCAUGCCUGUUCGAGCGUCAUUAUAACCCCUCAAGCUUAGCUUGGUGUUGGGGCCUGCUGUAAUAGAGCAGCCCUUAAAAUCAGUGGCGGUGCCAUUAGGCUCUAAGCGUAGUAAUUCUUCUCGCUAUAGGGUUCUGGUGGAUGCUUGCCAUUAACCUCUAAUUUUCUAUGGUUGACCUCGGAUCUGGUAGGGAUACCCGCUGAACUUAAGCAUAUCAAUAAGCGGAGGA